GUCGCUGAACUGAGCGAUGGCCACCUAGAGAGGCAGAGACAGUCAGACAGUCAGACAGACAGACAAGAUAAGUUCAAAUCUGACGACGAAUCAAAUUAUUCAAAGUUGACUGCCUAUCUUCUCGACCCCUGAUUCGCUCUGACCUCCAGUGGGUGUACGCUCUGACCCAUGACUCACCUGGGUGCCGUCUGGUCCGAUCAGAUCCAGCGAUCCCACGGUGCUGUAGAGAAAACGUGUGAUCUUCAUGAAGUUGUCAUCUCCGAUGGACCAAGAGCCGUCUACCAGGAACGUCAGAUGGAGGCAUGGGUCUGACAAAGGUCAGAAACUGAGACAGAAAUGCUAACAGACGGGCUCAGCGGGUGUGUCCAUGCUCUUUUACCUGAGCCCACCAGACAGGAACAGACGAGGAGGAUCGUCUGAGUGGGAGGUGGAGGGUCGGACUGUGAACUUGUACCCUUUUUGAUUCUAAUCCAAUUUGGAAAAAAAUGUGGGGGAAAGUGAGAAUAUUUUGUCUUAUUUCAUGAGUCACUUCCUUUUGCAGCUUAAAUUGAAGGUUUAAAAUAAAGGGUAAUCAUUGGACAUUAAGUUGCUUUGGUCAAAGUUUGGCCUUACUAUUUUAGUUGGUAGGUCAUUUCAACAGCAUUUAUAAGAACAUUACAUUUACAGGUCAUUUAGCUCAAUGGGGAAAAUUAGAAACAGUUUGUUACUGUCAGGAUUUAAGCUUCCUUGAUGUUUGGGAAGACUGCAUGCUUACACUGUAGUUACAGUGUAUUAGAGUCACCUGUCAAACUUAGGUGUAUGUGUGUAUGUUGGAGCCAUUGUGCCCAGUUUGUGACUGGUAGCUGGACUGAGCCUGAGGUAAUAAGCUGCUAAACCAGGAUCUUCAUUUUAGCAUAGGCUGCAGCCCACCCUCGCCCCGGUAAAGGCCAUUCAAUUAAGUCAUUGUGGAAAAUGUCUCAGAGACUUCCUGUGUGAGACAUUUAAGUGUUAACCUUUUUCACUUUUCUACUUUGCUUUCUUUGAAUUUACUCUCCCUAAUUUUGUUAAAAUGAUC